ACACUUAAAAAAAAUCUUUAAAAAUCUUAAUUGAAUACACCCCUCCAUCUCAUUCAAAUCACUCUCUCUCUCUCUAACAAUAGACCCAGCUGCUCUCGCCUCUCUGUCUCCCAAGAUCGCCGAUUUUAGGAAAAUCUGCUGGAGCUCCGGCCUAAAACUCCGGCGACGCAAACGGCAAGACCCCGACCGACGCAUUCGCAAGGUAUUUUCUAAUUUUCUGUUGCAACCAAAUGAACGAAUCCUAGGGUUCAUUUCAGGGGUUUUGAUUUCGUCAAACCCAUUAAGCUUCUUGAGAGGAAAUUAGUAACUCUGUUGGUUUUCUUGGUUUUGAUUUUCUAAUGUGAUGAUUUAUGGUGUGGAUAACCUGUUUAGUAUAAUAUGGCUCUUUGAUUUGAUAAUUGUGAAGAAAUUUUGCUUUGAUAAUUUUGGAGGUCUUUGCAUAUAUGUACUUAUAUUUUCGGAUGUUUCAUGUUACAACAUUAAUUUUUUAGUGUAAAGUAUUUUAAUUUUAUUUAUUGUUGGGUUUGCAGAAUGCAGCAGUGUCUACUUUUCCUGCUCAACAUGCUCAAGACAGGUAUUCUAGGACUAAUCUCAUCUGAUACAACAAGACUCUACAUGACAGCAAAAAAAUAUAAGUAUCUAUAGCCAUGACAACAUAAUCAUUCCACAAAGUUGUAAUUUUCACAACUGAAAAAUUACCCAAUGAGACUAGUAGUUCAUUAUUUGCACCAUAGUCAAUGUAUUACUUUUAUUUGUUUACUUUUAUUUUUAUUAUUUUAGGAGAAUCAAAGAGUUGGUUGGCUUUUGAAUCUCAAUAUUGUUAUUAGGAUGAUAAAAUUUCCAAGAUAUCACCUGCAAAUAUAAUGGCACUUGCAAGUUGACUUUAAUUAAACUGAUAAUUUUCUACUUAUAUUUUUCAGAUUAAGCAAUCGUUUUGUAUUGGGUAAUGAUUGUCUAAACAAUUUAGCAAAAAAAAAAAGAUUGUCAUUGGAUUAUUUGCAGUUAAUAGGAGUUAGUAUUUACCACACAUUUUGAACAGUAAUAUUUGCGGACCAUCGAAGAUUAGUGCACUUUGUUGGGUUUAAAGUAGCUAGUUAUCUUGCAGAUGUCAUGUUCACAAAUUACUAGAUUUUUCGCUCAAUUUACAUGCUUUAACAUUUUUUACAUUCACUUUGUAGAAAACAUGUUAGAUUUUCUUUAAAAAAAACUGAAGAUGGACUCUUUAACCAUUUGGGUAUCUUUCUAUAGUGUAACACUUUUGUUCAUGUGUAAUGAUCUGUGGAUUACCAACUGUGGCUUGUCUCUAAAACAUUGCAAUCUUAUGGUGGUUUUGGCAGAUACGGUUCAACAAAUAAAUGUCUACUUCAAGCAACAUGAGCAUUCAAACUCAUGAUACACGAUUUCGAAACAAGAGCUGCUAUGAGAAUAUCUGAAUCAGAGAAGAAUCCUGGAAAGCUCUACUAUGACUGUCCAAGGGAGAAGGAUAAAGGAAAAUGUGGGCUAGCCUUGGUAGUGUCGGUCAUGACACUUGUCAAGUGAUUGUAAUGAUGGUCUUCUACUAUUAUUUAAUUUUUCCUGUUUUCUUUCGUUUAAUGAUGGUUGUUUGUUCUUGUCUUUGAUGGCUUUUAAUUUGAUAGCAUUUUGUGUGUGCGUAAAUGGAAUGUCAUCGGCAUUUCCCUUAUUUGUUCACACUUUCUGUACGUAAAUGAAUGAUAAGGAAAGUGAUGGAGCCAUGAUGGACUAAUUAGAAACUAAGUUUUUUCAGAAUAUGGAGUUAUUUCAUAUGUUUGGCGUAAGUUAUAGACUUCUUUGUGGAUAUACUGUGUACUCGGUUCUCUUAAAUUUAACACCACAAUUUUGCUGAGGAUAGAUUGGUCGAAUGGGAAAGGUAUAAUGAUAUUCAACUUUUUAAAACCAUCUUGGUAUAAGAUGUUCAAUAACCAUCUUGGUUAACAUUUUAAUGCAGGUUUUCAUCAAUCAAUUCAUUUCCUCUUAACAUAUUAAUGCAGGU
rnacentral:lncRNA from 1 species